rnacentral:lncRNA from 10 species
CCAUGGCAGGGGACUCUGAUCGUGCUCCUUUCCGACAGAGCACCUCGAUUCUCCUGGAAUUUCAGGUCGUCCCUUUCUCUCACCCUCCUCACCGUCCUCUGUGCAGGGCUCCAUCCCACGCAACAUUCCACUGGGGGCACCUUUGUGUUUGUUUUCUGUUUGCUUGUUUCCUGGAAACCUCCCUCCUGGAAUAAAAACAUCUUUAAAAGCUAAAACUGAUGACUGAGGAGCUCCUGGGCCCGCGCCCCUCUGCGGCCGGCCACCACCUCUGGCCCAAUCCUCCACCCUCUGCAGGUAGAGCCUGAGCUGCUUCCUCCAGGAAGCCCCACUGAUGCUUGCUCCCAUCCAGGCUCCCAGGCACGGGGAACUCGAGCUACUCCUCAGCGGACCUUGACAUGUGGAGGUUGUCCUGGAUCAUCUGUGUGGCCCAGGGUGACUGCAGGAUUCGUGGAGAGGGAGGUGCGUCAGAGAGGGUGUGGACGUGAAGCAGGGCAGGUGCUGCCAGGCGACCGCCGCUGGACCUGCCGCAGCUGCAAGAAGACGCUCCCCUCAAACCUCCCAGGGAAACGCAGGCUGUGGACACCUCGAUUUCAGCCUAGCGUUGCUAUGGGAACUGGGCUGAGGUCCUUGCAGCAACCUUGAUCUACGGGUUUCAGGCCUGGGCAGGGGCGCAGAUGCUGGAUGCAGGUCCCUGCAGGGCCCUCGGCUUCGCCUCCUCUUACCUCAGUUUCCCCAUCUCUGCAAUGGCAGCACUUGGGCCAUUGUCAAGUCACCAAAGCCACCUGCAGGCGGGCUCCAGAGACGUGCUUCCCUCUCAGACCCCACUCCAGCCCUGACAGGAUACUGAUGGCGCCCAGCCAGAGGCUGGAAUGCUUCCUGCGUGGGGAAAUGUUGGGUUAAAUAUUGGGAUAUAUUGGGUGGAUAUAUUGUGUUAAAUAAAAUAUAUGAUUCAAAUUAG